rnacentral:rRNA from 1 species
UGGUGACUAUAGCGGGGUGGGCCCACCCGUUCCCAUCCCGAACACGGAAGUGAAACGCCCCUGCGCAGACGAUACUGCCCUGGUAACGGGGUGGGACAAUAUGGCGUUGCCAGGAA